rnacentral:rRNA from 1 species
UACAGAGGUCCCAAGCGUUGUUCGGAUUCACUGGGCGUAAAGGGUGCGUAGGUGGCGAGGUAAGUCGGAUGUGAAAGCUCGGAGCUCAACUCCGAAAUGGCAUUGGAAACUACCUUGCUCGAGGGUUGGAGGGGGGACUGGAAUUCUCGGUGUAGCAGUGAAAUGCGUAGAUAUCGAGAGGAACACCAGUGGCGAAGGCGAGUCCCUGGACAAUACCUGACACUGAGGCACGAAAGCUAGGGGAGCAAACAGGAUUAGAUACCCCCGUAGUCC